UACAGAGGUCCCAAGCGUUGUUCGGAUUCAUUGGGCGUAAAGGGUGCGUAGGUGGCGCCGUAAGUCGGGUGUGAAAUUUCGGAGCUUAACUCCGAAACUGCAUUCGAUACUGCGGUGCUUGAGGACUGGAGAGGAGACUGGAAUUCAUGGUGUAGCAGUGAAAUGCGUAGAGAUCAUGAGGAAGACCAGUGGCGAAGGCGGGUCUCUGGGCCGAUACUGACGCUGAGGAGCGAAAGCGUGGGGAGCGAACAGG
rnacentral:rRNA from 1 species